rnacentral:rRNA from 1 species
UAAAACUUUCAGCAACGGAUCUCUUGGUUCUCGCAUCGAUGAAGAACGCAGCGAAAUGCGAUACGUAAUGUGAAUUGCAGAAUUCAGUGAAUCAUCGAAUCUUUGAACGCACCUUGCACGAUCUGGUAUUCCGGAUCGUAUGCCUGUCUGAGUGUCAU